GUCGACUAUGUGGUAUCAAGACAAGAACUUCUCUGCAACCAGGGCCUAUCCGGCCAUAUUUUAAUGAGACAAGUGUACGAAGUUUAGUAUAUACAGAGCAAGAAUCGCCAACAAACAACCAUAUGCUGCUAAAUCAUAAUAUUCAAAGAGAUGGUCCGAGUUAGCUUAUGAGUUGAAGAGAACGAAAGCUGAAAAAAGGUAUUGCAAAAAGGGUUAAUGGAUGAGAAGAAAUAAUAUGCAAAUAUGGGCAAAUGUAAGAAGAUUGAAUCAGAUUUAAUGGAAGCGGGUUGCAGAGCCUGAAAAGUGAAAUAGAGAAGAAAGUAGAAACACCAAACGCAUAAGCCAUAGAAGCUGAGCUAAGCAGAGUGAAGGUUCAGUUUGAGAAAUGGAGGAAAGAGGCUGAGACGGAAACUUCUCAUUACAUUCUGCUUUGGUCGGCGACGUGAGACUGCAGUCUAGAAGGAGCUUGGAAAUUAAUGACGCAUGGACCAUUUGAUGCAACCAUGGUUGAGCUAGAAGAUAAUUUGAAAUGGAUGCAAUCUCGUGGAUGCAACUCUGUGGAUGCUUAACUGGUGGAUGCAGAAACUCGUGGAUACAACUCUAUGGAUGGAUGAAUGGAAUGCUUAAAGAUGAACCAGAGGCUGUAAUGGAGCAUAAUGCGCUUAUGUUGGCUAUGAAGAACAAGACAAACAAGCUGGAAAAGUUGUGGAUCAGAUUCAAGGAUGAGUUGGGCCUUUUUCAGCCAAAAGGAGAUCAAAUAUCCCAGAUAUGGAUCGAUUUUCUCUUGUGAUGAACCAGCCACGAAAUUAAAGUCUAUGAAACAAAGGGAGCAAUUGUUUGCUUGGUUUAUUCUGAACCAGAGCUAAACCAGUUCGAAAAUCAAGUCAAGGAUUCAGUCCAACCUAGUUUUCCUAAGUAUUUUCUUAUUCCUGCAAUUUAGGACUUUUCAUUUUCCUUCUUCUUCUCUAUUUAAACUCUCUUUUGUUUCAGAACAAAAUAUCACUCUUUUUAUUAAAAUUGUCUCUCAAAUCUAUGAAUCCUUUUUUGAACACUGA